CAGGCACCUGCUGAAAGGUCCAUCACCUUCUACUGCCCUUGACUACAGAUCCAUACAGGUGCCCCUAGCAUCAUCAUCUUCCUCAUCUCAGGGAUUCCCGGCAUCCACUCACUUUCAGCUCUGCUCACAAUCCUAUCAAGCACAUUGGAAAAUCUGGCUACCUGGGACCUCUGGAAAGGCUGCAAGGUGAUCUCAGGUCCUCUCCACUUAAUUCCCUGAUGGAACCGAUCUCAGGAUCCUGGGAAGAAGCAGGAAAGUCAUGUAGAGGGCAAGUUCAGACAGUGGGAUAUAUUACCUGGUUCUCAGACCUGAAGCUCUGCAUCUUCCGUUUCUAUGAUGCUGUAGUAAAGAACCAAAUCCAGACUAAAUCUGGCAAGGAGUUCCCGGAAAAUACAGUUCCCAGGCUUUCAGCCCUUCCAAUAAAGAGAAGAGCAGCGAAAGGAAUGGAGAUGAAUGCCGAUUGCAAAAACAUCAGUAUCGCUCUUUUUUUAAUUGGUGUUUAUUUGAUCGCUAAUGAGGUUGAAUGUUUUCCCUAGACUUACUGUGUUUUCCAUUUUGUGGUAAAGAAGGAAGAAAUUGUUGUUUUAACAAAGUUCCAUUUCUGUAGGGAGUAAACAG
rnacentral:lncRNA from 1 species